GGGCCCGCACAAGCGGUGGAGCAUGUGGUUUAAUUCGAUGAUACGCGAGGAACCUUACCAGGGCUUAAAUGCAGAACGACAGAGGUGGAAACACCUCCUUCUUCGGACGGUCUGCAAGGUGCUGCAUGGUUGUCGUCAGCUCGUGCUGUGAAGUGUCGGGUUAAGUCCCAUAACGAGCGCAACCCCUAUUUCUAGUUGCCAGCGGUUCGGCCGGGGACUCUAGAGAAACUGCCAGCGUAAGCUGUGAGGAAGGUGGGGAUGACGUCAAAUCAUCACGGCCCUUACGUCCUGGGCUACACACGUGCUACAAUGGUAGGGACAGAGAGUUGCCAACCCGCGAGGGUGAGCUAAUCUUCAAAGCUGCCCCCAGUUCGGAUUGGAGUCUGAAACUCGACUCCAUGAAGUCGGAAUCGCUAGUAAAGGC
rnacentral:rRNA from 1 species